rnacentral:lncRNA from 1 species
UCGUCUUUAGUCUUUGUUUUGUUUCUCAGUUGUAACCGACGUCUUCAGGCUACUCUUAUUCGUACGACUGGAAGAGUGGUGAUCAUGUUUUGGCAUUUAACCUGCAUUCAUAGAGAUUGAAUUAGCACAAUUAUCGCUCAAUGAGAAGGAAGAAGAAAUCUUGCAGAUCCAGGUAGAUCCGAGUACGCAAAGAGAAGUGGGGGAAUUUUAGCUUGUGGGAUGUUUCCUAACAGCCAGUAUAAUUCACUAUCCAGCCAUGAAAAGCACUAUGGUAAACCUGUGGCAUCCUGUCUGUGGGGUCCAAAUUUGAGAUUUGGGGGAAAAAUGUACCUUUUUCAGUUUUUUCAUAAUAUGGAUAUAGAGAGAGUUUUGAAAGGUUCACCAUGGACUUUCAAUAAUCAUUUUUUAAUACUUUACAAACUGGAAAGGGGAGAGGAUCCACUUAAAGUACCACUAAUUUUUAUCCCUUUUUGGGUAAAAAUUCAUGACGUCCCAAUAGGGUUAUUUUCUAAAAAUCUAGCAAUACAACUGGGCAAUUUUAUAGGAGCUUUCUUGGAAUAUGAUGGUUCAAAUUUGGGGAAGGAAAAUCGUAAUUACAUGAUGGUAAGGGUACAAAUUGACGUUAGAAAGCCCUUGAAAAGAAAGAAGCAAGUUAUGUGUUGCGAGGUUCGUUCAUAUGUUAAAUUUAAGUAUGAACGUCUAUCGCUUUUCUAUUUCUACUGUGGACGUUUGGGGCAUAAUGACUCUUUUUGUGAGAUAAAAAUGAUGUUAGGGGUGGAUAUUGUAGAAAUGGGUUGGGAUUUAUCAUUGCGAGCACAAUCUCGAAGAGCCCUUUCAAUGAAUGGUAUCUGGCUACGAGAAAAGGGUGAAGGAAAAUGUGAAGUAAGUAGGAUGGAUAAUAGGUUUGUGGGGCUUAGUUCAAGGAAUGGGGACAUGAAAGAAAGAAGGGGAAAAGCCAUUGAUCCAACUCUGGGUUUUAACAUAGAAGGAGGGGUGUCAUCUAUAGAACAACAGAAGGAUAAUUUUUGGUCCAAUCAGAUGCAAAUGGCUAUGGAGCAUGAUUUGGAAGACGAAACCUUAAUAGGGGAGGAAGGGAAAAAGCAAAAUAGGGGGAGAUGGAAGAACUAACAGAAAAUGAAUAGAGUGGUAAUGUAAUAACAAGAAAUAGGAAAAUGGUGGAAUUUAAACUUUUAUCAUCAGUGGCUGCCAAGAGGCAAGCCGACCGGGCGUAAUAAAAAUCAUUAGUUGGAAAGUCCGUGGUUUAGGGAGACAACGAACGGUUAAAAGACUUUGACAUUUGCUGAAGAUACAUAAUCCCCAAAUAGUCUUCUUUAUGGAGACAAAACUUAGUAGAAAAUAGAUGGAACAAGCUAGUAGAAGAUGUGGUUAUGCGAAUGGUAUUGAAGGUGACUCAGAAGGUAUGAGAGGAGGAUUGUGUCUAGCAUGGAGGACUGAUGUUGAUAUAAUGUUUCGUAUUUUUUCCUAAAAGACACAUUGAUGUGAUUGUUGAAGAUAAGGAAAAAGGAAUCAAUUAGAUAUUCACAAGAUUCUAUAGAUCUCCAUAUGCACAGGAUAAAAAUGAUUCAUAGGUUGUUUUGAAAAGCUUAGCUACUGAUGUGGAAACUUCUUGGUUUGUUUGUGGAGACUUCAACGAAAUUAUGUAUGGAUUCAAAAAAAAAAGGCUACUUAGAGAUGAAAGAAUGAUGGAACUUUUUCGAAGAACACUAGAGGAAUGUCAACUAAAUGACGUGGGCUUUGAUGGUAGCUGGUUCACUUGAGAGAGAGGAAAUUUACCUGAGACGAACAUACAAGAACGACUAGACAGAGGUGUCGCUAACACAGAUUGGAUUAAUAUGUUUCCGGAGGUGAAAGUCCAACAUCUAGUGCAUUCGUUUUCAGACUGUUGCCCUCUUCUUAUUAAUACAAGGAGAUAUGAAGAACGAUUGAGGAACAAUAAUUUUAAAUUUGAAGCUUGGUGGUCCUUUGAGGAGUCUUUCAUUAUUGAAGUCAAGAGUUUGUGCGAGAAAUCUUCAGGGGAGCUGUUACAAAAGCUAGAAGACUUGAAAGAAGGCUUGAAGAAGUGGGGUGGGCAAAUUCAAAUAAAUAGGAAAAAAACAAGACAGAUCCUAACGGAAAAACUUAUAGAGUUGGCUGAAGCUGAAAGAGAUGACAAUAACUUAGCUGAGUUGACUGGUACAAAAAUUAAUUUGAAUUUUGAUAUCGAAAAAGAUGAAUGUUACUGGAAACAAAAGGCUAGAAUAAACUGGUUUUGAGGAGAAAAAUACAGCAUUUUUUCACAGUCAAGCAUCACAGAGGCGGAGGAAGAAUAUCAUUCACAAGCUAGAAAAUGAAGACAGAAGAGAGAUGGUGACCCUGUAUGUAACAGCCCAAUUUUGGGUCUAGUCGGAACAGUGGUUUUGGGACCACGAAUCCGACAAGAAAAAACGUAAUGGCCUGAAUUUUCAAAGGUGUCAGAACGGAAAUUCGAGAUCACUAAAUUCGACAAAUGGGUAGAAAAUAUUAUUAAUUUAGUGAGUAUAAGUUAAAUUUGAAGUUAGGAAAAUUUUUGAAAUAGUAAAUAGUGCACUAGAAAUAAAUAUUAAAAUAAUUAAAAUCGAAAAUGAGGUAUUGAGACCUCGGGGAUUUUAAACCGAGCCAUAAAUAUUUUUAUAAAUAUUUAUGGAGUGUUAAAAAGUUAGUAUUAAAGUUUCGUUAAGAAAUUUUAAAGUUCCGAUAAUUAAUUGAACAAAAAGAACUAAAUUGUAACAAAUGCAAAAUUAUGGGAAAUGAUUAAAUAGCUUAAAAGAUAAAAGGAAGAGGGCUUAAAAGGCAAAUAGACCCAAGGUCUAUUUGGGCUGGACGGCAAAGGCAUGAAAUCAGCAACAAAGUAAGGAGAAUUAAGGGCAAAAUUGGAAUAUUGCAAAAUUUACUUAAUAAAGUUAGGACCAAAGUGGAAUUAUCUAGAUUUCUCUUUAUUUUUCUGCAUUCUCAUCAGCUAAAACACCAUAGAAGGGUUUCCUUAAGCUGUUUCUUCAUAUUUUUACUACAAGUAAGUUCAAUUCUUGAUUAUUUCUUGAAAUUUUUGUGUUUUUGUGACUUUUACAACUAGUCCCACUUGUUGUAUUCAUUAGUUUUUGAUUCUAUGAAAAAAAUUGAAAGUUGUUAUGAAUACAUGCUGGAAGUAUAUGAUGAUUUAGCAUGGAAUUAGAGCUUUAAAUUGUUCAUAUGCUGAUUUUAUUGAAAGAAUUGAAUAGAAAGUGAAUGUUUGGGACCUAAUAGUAAAAGAGUUUGAAGUUAGGGUUUUAUGUGGAAAUUCUAAAUUUCAAUAGUUGUGAAAUAAUUUAUAAUGUCUAAGUAAUGUACUAAUUGAGAAAAUUUAGCUUAAUUGAAGGAUUAAUUGAGCAAUGACUGAAUUGUAUGAACUGUGAAAUUUGGGGCAAAAUGGAAAUCAACAUUUUGCACUAAAACAGUUUUGGACAGCAGUGGUUUAACUUUGAAAAAUCACCAAAAAUUAUGGGAAUUAAAUUAUAGGGUGAAUAAAAUAUGAAAUUAAAUCUUAUUGAGUCUAGUUUCUCAUAAAAGAAAUUGCGUAAGUAAUGGAAUUGAAAAUUAUGAGAUAUAAUAAAUUUUGUGAGACCAUGUCAGAAUGAUUUCGGGUUCCCCUGUUCUAACUUUGGAAAAUCAUCAAAAAUUGAAGAAAAAUAAUUAUGAGUUAUAAUUUAUAUUCUUAGAAUCCUUAAUAAGUCUAUUUUCAAAUUAAAUAAACAAAAACAUCAUCUAAAUUCUGUACAAUUAGAUAAUUCAUUUUUAGUGAAGAGUGGUCAGAACUGUCAGACAACAAAAUAGGGGGACUUUAAAGAAUAAACUGUACUAUUUUGCUGAACCAAAAAUUCUGAAAAUUUUAUGGUAAGAAUAUAUGUGAGUUUAGUUUCAGGUAAAAUUAACGGAUCUUAAUUUGAAGCUCUGUAGCUCUAGAUAAAAAUAAUUUAGUGACUCUAACUCGGAUAAAUAGCUUUAAAUAUACAUGUGAGUGAAUAGUGAAAUUAGAGCUAAUGUUGUUUAAGUGUGUUAUACACAUUAAGAAUGUGGAAUGGAGAGGAGGAGAAGGAAAAUUGAGAAAUAUAUGAAUGAUUUGUGUAUAAUUGGUCAUAAGCUUGAUUAUAAUUGAUAAACGAUGAAAUAAAAAUGAUGUUUAUAUUUGUGCAUUAUUGGUCAUGGUUUAAACUCAUGUGUGAAAAUAAAGUUUCAUAGUAUGUGUGUAUGGUAUAUUCGGUAUAUGAUUGUGCAUGAAAUAAUGUCAUUAAUGGGUUAUGAAUUAACACACGUUGGUAAGCGUAAUACAUGAAUAAAUGUUGUGCUCAUCCAUAUUUAUAAUGCUUAUGCUAUAUGUGUAUUUGGCUAACAUAUUUGGUGUCCAUGCUUAGGCUUUGGCCAAAUAGUGGCUAGAUUAUGCCACAAUAAAUUUAUAAGUUAUGCAUUGAAAUAAUAAAUUCAUAUGGCUAAAAUUUAACAAUUAAAUGUUAAUUUCAUAAAUUAUAUAGUGUAUGAUGAUAUAUAUUUGUUAAUGGAUUGAAAAUAAAAUAAAAAUGCGAAAACCAAAUAAAUGAUCAAAUUGAACGGAACGUCAGAUUUGAGUACUUCUGAUCAAUGAUAAGUGAUAAAUGGUACCUUUAGCUACACUUAUCUGAUCAGUGACAAGUGGCAAGUGAUAAGUGAUAACUUAGCUACACUUAUCUGAUCAAGGACAAGUGAUAAGUGAUCAUACGUAAGGCCAUAGUUAUACUAUGGCAAAGUGAAAGUGAAGUACUCAAUUUUCCGUAACCAUUCCCUAAUUUGAUUAAGGAUGGUAAAUGACAAAUGGACCCAAAAGAAUUAAAAUAAAUGGAUAAGUGGUAAUGUAUUUAUAGUAGGAUGAUAUUGUUAUUUAAACUAACGUGAUAUUUUCAUUGCAAAAUUAAAAAUUUCAUAAAUAUGUUAAUGAAUGAUAUAAUCGAUAAACGUUGAAUUAAAUGGUAAAUACAUAGUUUUAAACUUAAUUAGAUUGAAUUGUAUGUGAAUUAAAUAAAAAUUGCUAGUGAUAUGAUCUAAAUUGUGAGCAUGAGAAAUUGCGAAUUGAAUGAAAUGGAAAUGAAGCAUUGAAUUGCAUGAAUAUAUAUCGGGUCUCGUAGGCCCUAUUUAUUAAGAUUAUAAUAUUUAAAGGAUAUAUUGUGAAGAGUCAUAAAAACAUGUUAAUAAUUUUGAAAGUUUUAAUUUAGAUGAAAUUUUAUAACUCGGUUAAAUACGUUUACAAGUGUAUGUGUACUGGUAAUGCCUCGUGCCCUAUUCCGAUGUUGGAUAAGGGUAAGGGGUGUUACACUGUAAAAAUAGAAGGUGUUGCGCGGUCUUAUUUUCAAAGCUUGUUUUCGGCAAGAGGAAAGAAGAAUUAUGAAUAUAUACUAUCAGGGCUCGAGCAUUGUCUAUGCGGAAGACAACCAAAAACUUACAGCAACAUACAUUAAAGAUGAAACUGCAAAAGUAGUUUUCGACAUGGGACCCAUGAAGGCACCAAGAGAGAUGGAUUUCUAGCUCUAUUUUAUUAGGAAUGCUGGCAGAUUGUUGGAGAAGAAGUUGCCUCCUUUUGCUUACAAAUUCUAAACGAAGAUAUAGAGGUUAGUCCAAUUAACUCUACCAAUAUAGUACUUAUCCCAAAAGUUACUACCCUUCUAAUAUGAUGCGGUUUAGACCGAUUAGCCUAUGCAAUGUACUUCUAAAAUUCUAGCAAAGGCAAUAGCAAAUCGAUUUUGAGGAGUUAUUGGAAAAUGCAUUGAUGAGGCGUAAAGUGCCUUCGCACCAGGUCGAUUAAUAUCAUAUAAUGUGUUGUUAGCCUAUGAAAUAUUGCAUAAGUUAAAACAUAAGAGAUUGGGGAAAAAAGGGUAUAUGGCCAUUAAACUCGAUACAAGUAAAGCAUACAAUAGGGUUGAAUGGAAUUUUAUAAAGUAGAUAAUGAUAUGAAUGGGGUUUGAUCAAAGCUAGUUAAAUGCCAUUAUGAAAUGUGUUACCACUAUUUCUUAUUCAGUAGUCAUCAAUAGGCAUAACGAGUAUAAAUUUCUACCAGCUAGAGGACUUAGACAAGGUGAUACGCUGAGCCCGUUCUUAUUUCUUUUAUGUGGUGAGGGUCUAUCAAGCUUAUUGAGACUAGCAACCAAUGUAGGCUUCUUAAAAGGUGUUAGGGUUAAUGGAAAUGGCCCAUAGGUAACUCAUCUUUUAUUUCCUGAUGAUUGCAUAUUAUUCGGGGAGGCAACAAGCAAGGGUGCUAAUCUCUUCAAGGACAUUCUACGCAAGUAUAAAUCUUGCUCGGGACAAUGUGUUAACUUUGACAAAUCAACAAUAUUUUUUAGCAAGAACACGUUGGAGGAUAGGAGACUAGUUUUCAAUCUAUUGGGGGUACGUAGCUCGAACGAACCAGAGCGUUACUUAGGAUUACCUAAUAUGGUGGGUCAGAGAAAAAAGGAAUCUUUUCAAAACUUGAAGGACCGAUUCAAAAAACGUAUUGAUAAUUGAAAUAAUAAGUACUUAUUGCAGGGUGGAAAAGAAGUAUUUAUAAAGGCUAUUCUUCAGGCUAUACCAACUUAUACACUGGCUUAUUUUUUAUUACCUAAAGUUCUAUGUGAUGAAUUGGAAAGUAUCGUUGCGAGAUUCUAGUGGUAGAAGAGACGUGGAAAAAUGGGAAUUCAUUGGUGCACGUGGAAAAAUCUUUUUUCUUUAAAAGAAAAGGAUGGUUUAGGUUUUCGAAACCUUGGUCAAUUUAAUAUUGCGUUAUUAGCUAACCAAGGUUGGCGUCUUAUCAAUUAUCCAAAUUCUUUAUUAGCCAGAGUUUUAAAAGCAAAAUACUAUCUGCAAUCAAGUUUCCUAAAGGUAGAGCUGGGAAAUUUACCUUCACUUACCUGGAAGAGUAUCUGGGUAGCAAAGGGACUUCUCCAGAAAGAGAUGUGUUGGAGAGUGGGCAGGGGAGACAACAUUUCUAUCUGGGAAGACAGCUGGAUAUAGGGGAUCGAUACAAUUGAUGGACAAAACGAAUCAAACAAUGGGGAAUUAUAGUUAGUCUCGGAUCUUGUUGAUAAUACAAACAAGAUCCGAGACUGAGGUCGGAUUUGAUUAAUAGUACCUUUCAAGCAGAAAUUGCUCAAAAAUUUCUACAGAUCCCUCUUGCAGAGACUAAGCACGAGGAUACUCAAGUUUGGAAAGUAGUAUUAUCCGGUGCAUUUUCAAUGCGCAGUGCCUAUAAACUAUUACAAUAAGCUAUUUUGAAUCCUAAUAUUAUUUAUUACAGACCAAAACUAAAUAAUUUUACAGGAAAUUAUGGAGCCUACAACUACCCUAAAAAAUUGCAAUCACUAUUUGGCCAAUUUCCUGGGAUUAUAUCCCUAAUCUUGCUAAUCUCAAGUACAGGAAAGUCACUUCAAAUGAUAGAUGUCUCUGUGGUUGCUCCUGGGCAGAGGAAAGUCUUCAUGUCUUCCGAGAAUGCCUAAUAACAAGAGAAGUUUGGCAAUUUUUAAAUUUAUCCUGGGUUGUGAAUAAUAUGAAUCAAAGUCUAUGAGAGUGGCUAACCUGGGUUUUCAAGAGAAGUAACGGCGCUCAAUGCCGACUCUUCUGUUAUGCUCUAUGGUUGAUAUGGUUUUCCAGAAAUCAAUUCAUACAUGAGGGGAAAAAUAUAACAGGAAAGGUUUUAGCACAAAAUAUUCAAAGGCACAUGGCAAACUAUGAAGGAAUAAAAGUAAUGAAGAUUCAUGAUAAAAUGAACAGAAGCUACAGAAUCCAGGAGGACAUACCAAAAACAACGAUCCACUUUGACGCAGCGUUCGACAGUAGAAACUUCAAAUCAGCGACAGGCCUGGGGGGAUGAGAUCUAAGGGGAGAUCUACUGGUACUAAAGAAGGUUAUUCACAACAAUGUUCCCUCACCAUUUGCAGCAGAGGCAUAUGCAUGUUUAAAGGGUACAAGGUUAGGGAUCUCACUAAGAACUCAAUCAGUCAAACUCAUAGAGGACUCCAAAACAAUAAUAAAAAAAUGUCAAACGGCUUUAACAGAUAAAUCAGUGAUUGGAGCUAUUUUCAAAGACAUUCAGAAUAAGAAACCUUGUUUUCAAGAACUUAUCUUUCAACAUAUUCACAGAUCAGAGAACUCGCAUACACAUAGACUAGCAAAAGACGCUCUUGAUAGAGGAGAAACCGUUUACUUGAUGGGGAAGAGUUGAAUCGUCAUGUCUUCGCAAAAUAAAGUCUUAUCUCUUGGGAACUGCUAUCGUCAGAACGAAUGGUUUUUUAGAAUGACUAAUCGACAGAUAUAAUGGUAUCCAGCCGUUUUUGAAUUGACUGGUGUGGAUAUUUUUUUAUUUCCUUUUCUUUUCAUUUAUUGCUUUUUGUCUUUCC